rnacentral:rRNA from 1 species
AUUAGAUACCCUGGUAGUCCACGCCGUAAACGAUGUCGACUUGGAGGUUGUGCCCUUGAGGCGUGGCUUCCGGAGCUAACGCGUUAAGUCGACCGCCUGGGGAGUACGGCCGCAAGGUUAAAACUCAAAUGAAUUGACGGGGGCCCGCACAAGCGGUGGAGCAUGUGGUUUAAUUCGAUGCAACGCGAAGAACCUUACCUACUCUUGACAUCCAGAGAACUUUCCAGAGAUGGAUUGGUGCCUUCGGGAACUCUGAGACAGGUGCUGCAUGGCUGUCGUCAGCUCGUGUUGUGAAAUGUUGGGUUAAGUCCCGCAACGAGCGCAACCCUUAUCCUUUGUUGCCAGCGGUUAGGCCGGGAACUCAAAGGAGACUGCCAGUGAUAAACUGGAGGAAGGUGGGGAUGACGUCAAGUCAUCAUGGCCCUUACGAGUAGGGCUACACACGUGCUACAAUGGCGCAUACAAAGAGAAGCGACCUCGCGAGAGCAAGCGGACCUCAUAAAGUGCGUCGUAGUCCGGAUUGGAGUCUGCAA